UUCUCCGACCUCUGCUCUCUCACGAGGCGGCGAACCCUAGCUGCCCCCAUCGCUGCCAGAUCCUAUUGCUCUUCCCCACCCCCUACGCCAGUGAGUUCCCGCCUCCCACCUCGUCCGACUCACCUUCUCAUGCUCCACUAAUUCGAUCGCGUCCUGCCCUCCCCUUCGUGUCCCAGCAGAUUAUCUGCGCCACCACGACGUCGAUCCCCCCAGCCGCCCACGACUCCGCUGCCUCCUCCUGUCACUUUUUUGUGCUGUGCAAAGGGGAGAUGAAGAUGAGAGGGCAAACGACCCCGAGAAUAGGAGGGCAAAUUUAACUAAUACAAAGCAGAGGCUUGGAACGCCAUGGACAUGUGCUUGUGUUGGCUUGAUGCCACUUCGCUACUGCACGUUUUGGCAUAGUGGAAUCUCACCUUCCGCGUUGCCAGAUGUUCGCGUGGGCGCCAGUGCCAUCCCCUCACUGACGCUCUUGCGGCAACAACGGGUGUUGGUCUGCUGGUCGCCUCAACAAACAACGGGCAUUGGUCCGAUUGUUGCCUCAACGAGCAAAAUGUUUUGUACUCAUUGCUGCAGAUUUUCCUUGCACACUCAAUGUUUGUACUCCAUCUGAUGUUGUUUCCGCUCUUAAUUUGCUGCAGGUACUUUCUCUCAGGUGCAGGAAACUGGUUCUGUUGUAUUGGUUCAACGAGUUCCUCGAGGCUGGCUCUAAGUUUUUGAUUGCAAAGGUCAGGUCAGUUAAAGUGGAAUGUCGUAUCCUAUCCAACAACCAAGUAUUACCUUCAUACGAUUGCUUAGUUUCCAUGGUUUUUGUGUUCAUAGUGACUCAUGCCAUGCUACUGCUGGAUAUCAUUGUUGUUGUAUAUGAACCAGGUCGAAUAGGCCGGUAGAUCCAUUUUGCAUAUGCAAAAUGUGAGCAUUUUGUUGUAAAUCUUCCCAAACACUCUUAAUUUAUUUCCAAUAUUAAAUGAUAUAUCUACUGUUUGUACAGAUUUGCAAAGAAGAGAGAAUUAUUGAAUAUCUGCUGCUUCCAGUGUAUGCCUGAUUGUGGAUAUUUUUUAGCAAUUGGAUAGUUUCUAGAAGUUCUGAAUUGAAUAUGAUGGUAAUAAAUUUCUAUGUGCAUGCGUAAUGACAAUGUAUUUUACUAGAGGUUUGAGAAAUUGAAUUUACCAUUCUGACAAAUACAUAUUAAGGAUAGUCGUACUUCUUGAAAAUCGAGCAAGGUUUAAGAAAAUCUCGAUCCUCUGAGAAUUAGCAGAACAAUUACCUCAGUGUGCAAAUUAGUAUGAUGAUCAUUGAUCAGAGGUACAUGCAUACAUGAUUCUGCUUAUAAUAUUGUCUAUGUCUGGAUUUCAGAUUUGGAAAUUCUGUCACCUGUCAUGAAGUAGUGUACGAUGGCAAAGCAUAGCUUUCCAUUUAUCUACCCUGGCUGGGUUAAUCCUUACAAUCGUGUUUCUCCGCUUUAACUUAUAAUGCUUGCAUUUUUUUUGCAAAUUUCCGUUUUAGGUCACUGCCAUUCAUCCACUCAAUAAAGGCUAGCUGUUGUUCCGUGAUCAAGGCUUAAUUUUGAAAUGAGUUUUGGAAUAUUCAUAGUCGAGUGGAAAGUAUAAAUCGAAUCGAGCUAGAGUUGGACACAUACAAUUGUAAGAAACUAAGAAGACCUAUCAGCUUAUUAAUUUUCUUUUCGAUUAUUACGUUAUUAUUGAUUGGUGUACCUCUUUUUUGAAAAGGAAAAGGAAAACUUUUGUGAAACAAUUUAUUUCAUUCUAUUUUAUAUUUCUCUAUAGUUUGUCCUCCAAUUAUGCUUGGUCUUUAUUCCAUGUAUUUACACAUGAUUUUUGAUUAUUCUCCCAUAAAAAAGGAUGCCUUCAUGGUCAGAGCCUUGCCAUUCACUCCACGAUUAGAGGGUGCACUUCUGCAAAUGGUCAACGACCUUUUGCAAAUGGUGCCAAAUAUGGAAUUUUCUCCAAUCAUCACAUAUUUUCUGCUUUGUGCUCUCAUGUAUGUGCGGAAAUUAGAAGAGGUAUACAAAUCUUACACUAUAGCACUUGAUACAAUGUUUCUUUCCAUCGCAACAUUGAAGUGUGCGGGCUUCACUUCCAUAUUGAUGUUAUGUAAGUGUCCAGUUUGAGAAACAGUGUUUUCUUAUUUUUAUUCAAGGUAAUGGAAGUAGAUAUGCCAUGUU